rnacentral:rRNA from 1 species
ACUCAAAGGAAUAGACGGGGGCCCGCACAAGCGGUGGAACAUGUGGUUUAAUUCGACACUACGCGAGGAACCUUACCUAGGCUUGACAUGCAUUUGACAGCUGUGGAAACACAGUCUUUUGGGCUUCGGUUCAGACAGAUGCACAGGUGCUGCAUGGUUGUCGUCAGCUCGUGUCGUGAGAUGUUGGGUUAAGUCCUCUAACGAGCGCAACUCCUGCUAUUAGUUGCUAUCUGUUAUGCAGAGCACUCUAAUAGGACUGCCUGGGAAACCAGGAGGAAGGUGGGAAUGACGUCAAAUCAUCAUGGUCCUUAUGUCUAGGGCUACACACGUGUUACAAUGGUCGGUACAAAGGGUCGCAAGCUCGCAAGAGUAAGCUAAUCUCAGAAAGCCGAUCUAAGUUCGGAUUGAGGUCUGCAAUUCGACCUCAUGAAGUUGAAAUCGCUAGUAAUCGCGUAUCAGAUAUGACGCGGUGAAUACGUUCUCGGGCCUUGUACACACCGCCCGU